AGACUCGACAAAGCUCAAAUUGAGAGCCUAACCAAAUUUUGUUCUCAGAAGAUUCACAGGAGAUAUAAUGUUAUAGUAACAACCAACAGCAGUAUUAACAGGGAAGAGUUGUUAUAUGUGCUUCGUGGUGGCCGCCUUGACGACAAGGUGGAAGAAGCAGUUUUGGAAACGCUUAGCCAGGAGGCAUAUGACAAAG